UAGAUACCCUGGUAGUCCACGCCGUAAACGUUGGGCGCUAGAUGUGGGGCUCAUUCCACGAGUUCCGUGUCGCAGCUAACGCAUUAAGCGCCCCGCCUGGGGAGUACGGCCGCAAGGCUAAAACUCAAAGGAAUUGACGGGGGCCCGCACAAGCGGCGGAGCAUGUUGCUUAAUUCGAUGCAACGCGAAGAACCUUACCUAGGCUUGACAUGCACGGAAAUCUCCCAGAGAUGGGAGGUCCUUUAAAGGG
rnacentral:rRNA from 1 species